UACGUGGGGUGCAAGCGUUGUUCGGAAUUACUGGGCGUAAAGCGUGUGUAGGCGGCUCGUUAAGUCUGACGUGAAAUCCCUGGGCUUAACCCAGGAACUGCAUCGGAAACUAGCGAGCUUGAGUCCGGGAGAGGGUAGUGGAAUUCCUGGUGUAGCGGUGAAAUGCGUAGAUAUCAGGAGGAACACCUGUGGCGAAAGCGGCUCACUGGACCAUAACUGACGCUGAUGCACGAAAGCUAGGGGAGCAAACAGG
rnacentral:rRNA from 1 species